rnacentral:rRNA from 1 species
CCCCUAGAUGUUCUGGGCCGCACGCGCGCUACACUGAACAGUUCAACAAGUCUUAACCUUGGCCGAUAGGUCUGGGUAAUCUUUGAACGCUGUUCGUGAUUGGGAUAGACCUUUGCAAUUAUGGGUCUUCAACGAGGAAUUCCUAGUAAACGCAAGUCAUCAGCUUGCAUUGAUUACGUCCCUGCCCUUUGUACACACCGCCCGUCGCACCUACCGAUUGAAUGAUCCGGUGAAAUCUCGGGACGGCGGCUUGGUCGCUUGCGUCCGACUGCUGAAACUUGAUUAAACCAUAUCAUUUAGAGGAAGGUGAANUCGUANCA